rnacentral:rRNA from 1 species
AUACGUAGGUGACAAGCGUUAUCCGGAUUUACUGGGCGUAAAGGGCGUGUAGGCGGUCUUGCAAGUCAGAAGUGAAAUUCCUGAGCUCAACUCGGGCGCUGCUUCUGAAACUGCAGGACUUGAGUGCUGGAGGGGAUAGCGGAAUUCCUAGUGGAGCGGUAAAAUGCGCAGAUAUUAGGAGGAACACCGGUGGCGAAGGCGGCUAUCUGGACAGUAACUGACGCUGAGGCGCGAAAGCACGGGGAGCAAACAGGAUUAGAUACCCUGGUAGUCCGUGCCGUAAACGAUGAAUACUAGGUGUAGGGGGUAUCGACUCCCUCUGUGCCGCAGUUAACACAUUAAGUAUUCCACCUGGGGAGUACGGCCGCAAGGUUGAAACUCAAAGGAAUUGACGGGG